rnacentral:rRNA from 1 species
AGAGCGGGAGCCCGGAGAUGGGCACUGAGACAAGGGCCCAGGCCCUACGGGGCGCAGCAGUCGCGAAAACUCCGCAAUGCGCGAAAGCGUGACGGGGCUACCCCGAGUGCCGUCCGCUGAGGAUGGCUUUUCCCCUGUGUAAUGAGCCGGGGGAAUAAGGAGAGGGCAAGUCUGGUGUCAGCCGCCGCGGUAAUACCAGCUCUCCGAGUGGUAGGGAUGAUUAUUGGGCUUAAAGCGUCCGUAGCCGGCUUAGCAAGUUUCCUGUUAAAUUCAGCGACCUAAUCGUUGAGCCGCGGGAAAUACUACUAGGCUAGGAGGCGGGAGAGGUCGACGGUACUUCUGGGGUAGGGGUGAAAUCCUAUAAUCCCGGGAGGACCACCAGUGGCGAAGGCUGUCGACU